rnacentral:rRNA from 1 species
AUUGAACGCUGGCGGCAGGCUUAACACAUGCAAGUCGAGCGGGGACUUCGGUCCUAGCGGCGAACGGGUGAGGAAUGCUUGGGAAUCUGCCCAGUAGCGGGGGAUAACGUUUCGAAAGGAACGCUAAUACCGCAUACGCCCUACGGGGGAAAGGGGGGGAUCUUCGGACCUCUCACUAUUGGAUGAGCCCAAGUCGGAUUCGCGAGUUGGUGGGGUAAAGGCCUACCAAGGCGACGAUCCGUAGCUGGUCUGAGAGGAUGAUCAGCCACACUGGAACUGAGACACGGUCCAGACUCCUACGGGAGGCAGCAGUGGGGAAUAUUGGACAAUGGGCGAAAGCCUGAUCCAGCCAUGCCGCGUGUGUGAAGAAGGCCUUCGGGUUGUAAAGCACUUUAAGCGAGGAGGAAUGGCUGAGGGUUAAUAACCUUCAGCAGUGACGUUACUCGCAGAAUAAGCACCGGCUAACUCUGUGCCAGCCGCCGCGGUAAGAC